CCGUGGCUUAGUUGGAUAGAGCAUCAGAUUCCGAUUCUGAAGGUCGUAGGUUCGAAUCCUAUCGGAC
rnacentral:tRNA from 1 species